CGCAAAUGUAAAUAUCGCAAUAUGCAUAUCGCAACAGCGUGCGAUAUCAUUAUCAUUUUAAUAAUUGCCUACUUAAAUCAAAACCUUGCAAAAGGUCAAAGUUUUUGUUUGACGCAUAUAGCUGA